rnacentral:tRNA from 1 species
CCCUCGAUAGCUCAGUUGGAAGAGCGGAGGACUGUAGAUGUUACAACGGUGAUCCUUAGGUCGCUGGUUCAAAUCCGGCUCGAGGGA